rnacentral:lncRNA from 1 species
GAAUCUAAAGGAUUUUUGCAAUUAGAUUUUUUGUUUAUAAUGUCUCUACUAUUUUGAUUUACUUAUUUAUUUACGUACGGUAUUUACCACUUACUAAGUAACUUAGCUAUAAAACAGCAUUUUGGUUGUUAGUUAAUAUAUAUUUAUUGUAUAUUUGGUUCUGAAGCCCAUAACUGAUUGAUUUAACGUAUCCUUGUUUUGGGCAGCUUCUGGGAUGUUUCCAAGAUAUUUGCGGAUUUGGGCAAUAAGUUUUAUUAUUUAAAAAAUUCAUUUUAGUUCUGCAGUCUUUUCAUAGCAAUGCAAAGUACUUUUGACUUUAUUAAUGUUAAUUUUUACCAAAGUUAAUUUGUUUAAUUAUUUUCUUGGUUAUGAAAAAUGAUUUAAUAUAAAUAUAUUAAGGUAUUAAACUGCAUGAAUUUUUUAUGUUUAAUUAAACUUUUAUUAUCAUAAAAAUGUUCAAGGUUAGUUUGAGGAAUUAUUUGGAAAUCGGAAAAAUGGAAAAAACAUUAAAUUUGUUUAUGCUGCAUUUAUACUUCUUGUAUUGAAGAUGCAUACCUAAAAAUUUCAAAUUUUUAAUUCACUGUAUAUUGUGCCAAUUUUCGGUCCGUAAAUUGACCAAUAAGUUCCCUGAAAAAGUCUUUAAUAUUUGAAAUUAUUUUGAAAGAAAAAAUUAUUUGUUGUUAAGUUGAAAUUCUGAAGAAAUAUUUUUGGUCCAUAAAACCUACAGGAGGUAUACAUUUCAAGAAAAUAAAACGUUGUCACGCGAGAAGGCUUAGCUCAUCUUAUAUGGAAUGACCCUAUUAUAUGCUUAUAAUAUAUAAACUUUAUACUAUAAUAGUAUGAUUAUUGUAAUAUAUUAUAUGAUAUUUUUAUAAUAAAUUUUUUCUAGUAAUAUAAUAUAAAUUAGUGUAGUAUUAUUAAACUAAUUAAAUUGUGCCAAAUAAUGUUGUUUAAUAAUGUUGUUUAAUACUUGUGUAAUAAUGGUGUUUACCUCUUACCGUCUGACCUGUUUGUUUAUUAUUACUGUUUUUAACAUUAAUUUUGUAUUGCAAGUAUUAAAAAAUGUUAAAUAUACUAUUUGUAAAAUUAAAGUAGUAUAAACUAAUAAUAACUACUUUACUUAUUUCUUCAAUAGUUAAUAGUUAAUAAUAAAGGCUGUUGUUGUCAAAUUUAUUGGGGAAAGAAAAUUGUUAUUGCUUGUAAUAUUGCUGACAUUUUAACUAAUGUGUGAUUCACUACAUGAAUACUUAUGCCAAAGUUUAUAUGGUCCACAAGUUAUCUUUAAUAAAACAGAAUAUGAUGUAAGGAGUUGAAGAGGUAUCGAAAUGGAUGUUCAACCCUUGAUCAGUACAUUUGUUUACUAUUUGCUAGAUUUAACAUAUUCUUGUUUUGGGCGGCUUCUGGGAUGUUAGCAAGAUAUUUGAGACUUUUUGCAAUUGGCUUUAUUAUCUAAAAAAUGCAUUUUUCUUCUGCAAUGCAAAUUACUUUUGAAUUUAUAAAUUUUAAUAAGUUAUUUUAUUCAAUUAUUUUGUAAAUAAU